rnacentral:rRNA from 1 species
GAUGAACGCUGGCGGCGUGCUUAACACAUGCAAGUCGAACGGAAAGGCUCCUGCUUGCAGGGGUACUCGAGUGGCGAACGGGUGAGUAACACGUGGGUGAUCUGCCCUGCACUUCGGGAUAAGCCUGGGAAACUGGGUCUAAUACCGGAUAGGACGAUGGUUUGGAUGCCAUUGUGGAAAGUUUUUCGGUGUGGGAUGAGCUCGCGGCCUAUCAGCUUGUUGGUGGGGUAAUGGCCUACCAAGGCGUCGACGGGUAGCCGGCCUGCGGGGGUGUACGGCCACAUUGGGACUGAGAAGCGGCCCAGACACCUGCGGGAGGCAGCAGUGGGGAAUAGUGCACAAUGGGCGCAAGCCUGAUGCAGCGAAGCCGCGUGGGGGAUGACGGCCUUCGGGUUGUAAACUCCUUUCGCUAGGGACGAAGCGUUUUGUGACGGUACCUGGAGAAGAAGCACCGGCUAACUACGUG